rnacentral:lncRNA from 1 species
UUCAUUAUAUGUAUUAUAUUUAGAAAUUUCUAUUGCGUGAAAGUUAAAUUAAGCGUUUCAGAUUGGGGUAAUAGGAGUGAUAAUUUGCCUUUUGUGCUUUGCAUGAGAAUCACCUCCACGUAUAUAUUGUAUUAUUUAGAUUACUUGUCUCCCACGCACAAAUCCUUUAGGCUCCUCCCCAAAACGUGUUUACAGUUUUAUUACGCCUCAGCUUGCCCCGUACAGAAGAAUGAAAAACUUUAGCCACAGAGUUGGUCAAGUAGUGUCAAAUGAUGUCCAACGUGUUAGAAGGAGUAGCAUUCAUAUUUAUGUAGUUUUUGUAUGUUUGGAAGUGAUGAUCAAAAGGACCAUAUACACAGGAAUUUCAAGGUCCAGACACUUUCACGUGUUCAUAUGUUGCAAACAAAGAAACAAUGCGUAAAGAGCUCCAAUAUCCUCACACAACUUGGAAGAAAAAUGCAGCUUCAAAAGUUGACGAAGCCACAUCCAGAUGCACCUUUACUGCCAUCAUAUGACAGCAUGAAGACUGAGAUGAUAUCCACAGAGCCCAUUGUUAGUUCCGAACGCAACCAACGAGACUGGUGAAGUCACAAAGACACCUCGGCGAUCCUGAUGCCUUGCUGUUAGAACACGAUAGACGUGUUUAAUACUUUUUGAUUUGGGAAAUUAAAAGAAACUGUUCCCAAGAAUAGAUUAAAAUGUUCACAGGAUGGACUGCUAUACACUGAGGAACGAACAGGGUUAAAUUUCGUGAUUAUUGAAACCAGUUAACAUCAAGAGAGGAUGAAGGGUUAGAGAGAAUCAUAUAGUGUUUAUUCCCAGGGUAAUCCCUCUCAAGUUAUUUUUAGACAUGGUACCCGGGCCUACAGCGGAUCGCAUAAAGUUUCCAUAUGCGUUGCGUGGUGUUUUCGUGGAGGAUGAAAUGGCGUGCAAAACCGUGUGGGCUGUCCACGUGACCACACUCCGCGUUACAGGAUUGGAUAUUUCUGGACUCUGCUGGGAUUUUCAAUUGAUCUGAAAACAGAUCGACAGGGAAUAAGGCCAACAUUAGGGAUUAACUCUCUUACCCUUCAUCCUGUCUUGUUUACAUGCAUUCAUGAAUUAUACACAUUAUUUAUCAAGGGGGAAAACGGGUAAAAUUAUGUAACCAUUACGCUGAGAGACACUUCAAGGACUACAAGGCUAUCUGUUAUCAAGACCUUAACCGUUUCUUAUUGUUUUUGUGAUCUAGAAUAACCUUAGAAUGGAUACGGUAUAAUAUAGACCGUAAAUAAUGAGUUUAAAAGGCGACAUCAGCUAACCUUGUUAGUUGCUCCGUCGAUGACUGCAGAAGGAGUAAAGGCUUAAAGAGAAUAAAGAUGUGGUCCUUUAGGCAUUUUCUUUGGCACUUUUGGGCCUGUACCCGCCCCACCCAAGUAUACGCUUUGUACUCUCUCUGUACUCUCUGUGUACCCGCUCUGUAUCCUCUCUAUUUAUCCACUCUGUAUCCACUCUUUAACCUCUCCGCUUUACCUCUCCUCUACCUACUCUGUACACUUUCUACCGUUCAAUUUUAAUGUUGUCAACUAUUCUUUGUCAAGUAUGUGCGGGUUAAUAUGUCAUCAUCUGUGAUUUGAAACAUCGCAAGGUGGAUGGUCGAUGCAGUUAACUGUUAGAUUUGACCUAUCUGCUAGAGUCACUUUUAUUCUGACUGUUGGUCUCUUUUUCUCUCACUCAAAGAGGCAUGACGAAAUUAACAAAACUUGCAAAAUAUAUCUGACCGAUUUUCCAAAAACAUGCCCGCUAUUUUGUGCAAA